GCAGGCCGCAGCGUCUCGCAUCGCAACCAGGCACAUCCAGCGCUCUGCCCCCGACCUGAGUACCUGACGAACCCUAAGCCAUCGCCGGUCGCCGCCCGACGCCCGCCGUCGCCGGUCGCCACCAAUCGUCGAGGUCCAGCUCCGUGCACCCCGGAUCUCCCUUUCCAGCACCCCCCGGAUCUCCCCCUUCCAGCGCCCACCCCCUCCCCCCGGCUGCGCCGCUGUGGCCUGUGGCCUGCGGCUGCUGUCCUGUUCGUCGUGUCCGGCGACGCGGCGAGGGCGCAAGGCGGAGAACCCGGCUAGGGCGCGAGUGGUGCGAGGCUGCAGCCUGCAGGCAGCUCGGCGUCCAGCGAGAUGCCAUCUAUUGUUUAUAGAUGCCAUCUUAGUACGGCGAACCCGAUUUCAAGGUUAUCGCACACGUAAAGGUGUUUUGACUCGUCCUACACGUUUAGCGAUGUCUGCUAUUGAAGAUGUACUCAUGGGAGGCUCGGAUCAACCAAUCAUUUGAUUUGUCAACUAUCUUCGUCGGGACAAUUGUCGCCGUAAAUAAACCGUGAACUGAAGUACGGAAAACGUGUGCAUGCUUGAUUUGUUGGGUUAGGUACAUAAUCAUCAUAUAGAUUGUUCGAUUUCCCAAGAAAUGAGCGAAGUUGGAAAAAGUGUACCACUGGGAAUGAAGGUUUGGCCAGCUCUCUGGGAGUAACUUCAAGAUCACCAAGAUUAUGUAAUCAUAUUGUUGGCUCAUUGAAAAGUUUAAUGUCGCCUUCUACAUGCAUUUUGACAUAACUGUUGCUAAAAUUUUGAAUAUUUCAAUAUAAUCACAAUGAUUCUAGA